rnacentral:rRNA from 1 species
UGAGGAACAUGACCUUCGGCGGGGGAUAGCCGGCCCAACGGCCGGGUAAUACCGCGUACGACCACUUUGGGACAUCCCUCGGUGGUGAAAGCAGCAAUGCGCCGAUGGAGUGCCUCGCGGCCUAUCAGCUAGUUGGUGAGGUAACGGCUCACCAAGGCGACGACGGGUAGCUGGUCUGAGAGGAUGGCCAGCCACAUUGGGACUGAGACACGGCCCAGACUCCGUACGGGGAGCAG